rnacentral:lncRNA from 1 species
AAAACUAACAUACAUCCUCUACUUCUUUGAGGAAUCCAUCGUUGUGCAUUAUGGUAUAUUCAUUAAUCGUAUACCGCACAUCAAAAUUAUUAGAUGGAAUAAUUGGUGUCCGACCUUGAAUCAAUUGAGAGGGAAGAAAUAAUCAUAAUUUAUUGGUCUAAUGCAUACAAAUAUUAUUGCAAUAUAUCAAAUUUUUAGACCAAUACAUUAAGUUUUGUUCUCAUUAACCAUGGUUUAGAUAUUUAUCAAAGAUAUUCAAUGCUAAACCAUCAUCAUCAAGAUGUAUUAUCUUGAUUAUACAAUCUGAAAACUAUGCUCAAUUUAUAUUGAACAAGUAACUUUAUGAAUGUCAAACGUAGGUUGACCAUAAAUGUACAUGUGAUCAUCUUAUUGAUGAAUCUUUUCAACAUACACAUGAUAGGUGAACGGGGCCCUUAUUCACCUUUUAUUCUUUUCAGAUUUGAAGGGAUCCAAUCCCAAUAUUAGUUGGUCCAACCAACUUAUCAUGAGAACAAGCGACAUAAACAAUUCUUGAAGAAUCUUCUAGUUCUUCAAUACAUGCACAUCUUCAAGAUGUCACAAUCGUUCAUAUCAAUUUAUGAAAUUUUAUUCUAGUAGACUCCAAGUUUACCAUGACAUGUACUUUUUCUUUAGUAAAUUUAAGAUUUACUAUUACAUGAAUAAUUCAGAUUUACUACUUCAGAAGUAGAUUUCAAAAUUAUUCAACCUCUUUCGGAGGUGAGUUGUGAUACAAUCACAAUCAAGUGCACGUUUGCAUUAAUAAGUUUCUCAUUCCCCAGGAAUGGAAUAUAAUCAUGCCUUAAGUAAGUCUAUCAAAUUAUGAUAACUUAUAAUCUCUUUCAAGAUUUUGCUACUUCAGAAGCAAAUCGAGACAUACAUAUAAUGUAGAGAAUUUUUCUCUAGCAUAUCUUAUAAUCAUAUAAACGUGUAAAAAUAUCAUCACUUUUGAUGAUCAUUAUCAUAUUGUCCCUCUACGCGUAUAUUCGUGCAUUCAAUCACUUGUCUUCUUUCAGACAUAUUAUGCACUGCUACCACAUACACCUCAAGAAUGAAGUAAGUUGUCAUAUUUCAGACUUAUCAUAUAUUGCUACGACAUUCACUUCAUGAAAUGGAGCAUACUCAAUGGGUCGAAUUUCAUGACUUUUCAUUAAAUAUCCAUUAUUUUGCUUUAGCCAUCAUAAUAUAUCAGUAUGGUGCAUUGAAAUUCAAACUCAACGUUUUAUCCAUAUAAAGGAGUCUUAGGCAUAAAUUGAUGGGACUUGAACCCAACAUAUUAUCAUUUCUUUUGAUAAUAUUGUUCUUGAGAAAUAAAUUCAAAAUAUAAAUGGUUCCAAACCAAUUAUUUUUUCUCAAAUCCAACAAUAAUUAUAUCAUUAAUAGAAAAAUACAAAUAACAUAAGGAAUUACUAACCUUGACCUUUAGAUUUAUAAUCCCACCUUGUUUGGCAGAGUCUCGUGCUGAUAAUGUGUUAUAAAGCAAUAAAGAACAAAGAAGAAGAGUAGAGAGAAUAGAGAGAGUGGUUCUUAUUUCUUCUCUUGAGGGAUGAGUGAUUAU